rnacentral:snRNA from 1 species
GUGCUCGCUUUGGCAGCACAUAUACUAAAACUGGAACAAUACAGAGAAGAUUAGCAUGGCCCCUGCACAAGGAUGACACACAAAACUCUAUUUUCUAUGUAUUG